GUGGGGUUGUAGCUCAGUGGUAGAGUGCUUGCCUAGCAUGUGUGAGGCACUGGGUUUGAUCUCAGCACCACA
rnacentral:tRNA from 1 species